rnacentral:lncRNA from 1 species
AAAAAACCACUGCCACUUUUCACAGGUCACCCUUCUUCCACCACAUCAUCACAUUCACACGCGAGUUGAACACAACGCCAAGUUGAGCAGCGCAACCACACACACACACCGUCUCGCACGGCCGGCUGAGGCGCGUCGAGGGGCAAGGCAAACCCAUGCCGCCGCCGGAGGAGGAGAGGCCGCCGCUGCCGCGGCCGAAGCCGAAGCCAAAGCCGCCCAAGCCCGAGCCCAAGACGGGGCCGGAGCCGAAUCCGAAGCCGAAGCCGC